rnacentral:rRNA from 1 species
GGGGGAUAACGUAGCGAAAGUUACGCUAAUACCGCAUAUUCUGUGAGCAGGAGAGCAGGGGAUCGCAAGACCUUGCGCUGAUUGAGCGGCCGAUAUCAGAUUAGCUAGUUGGUGAGGUAAAGGCUCACCAAGGCGACGAUCUGUAGCGGGUCUGAGAGGAUGAUCCGCCACACUGGAACUGAGACACGGUCCAGACUCCUACGGGAGGCAGCAGUGGGGAAUUUUGGACAAUGGGGGCAACCCUGAUCCAGCCAUGCCGCGUGAGUGAAGAAGGCCUUCGGGUUGUAAAGCUCUUUCGGCCGGGAAGAAAUCGUAUGGGUUAAUACCCUGUGCGGAUGACGGUACCGGCAUAAGAAGCACCGGCUAACUACGUGCCAGCAGCCGCGGUAAUACGUAGGGUGCGAGCGUUAAUCGGAAUUACUGGGCGUAAAGCGUGCGCAGGCGGUUUUGUAAGACAGGCGUGAAAUCCCCGGGCUCAACCUGGGAACUGCGCUUGUGACUGCAAGGCUAGAGUAUGGCAGAGGGGGGUGGAAUUCCACGUGUAGCAGUGAAAUGCGUAGAGAUGUGGAGGAACACCAAUGGCGAAGGCAGCCCCCUGGGCCAAUACUGACGCUCAUGCACGAAAGCGUGGGUAGCAAACAGGAUUAGAUACCCUGGUAGUCCACGCCCUAAACGAUGUCAACUAGGUGUUGGGUGGGUAAAACCAUUUAGUACCGGAGCUAACGCGUGAAGUUGACCGCCUGGGGAGUACGGCCGUAAGGUUAAAACUCAAAGGAAUUGACGGGGACCCGCACAAGCGGUGGAUGAUGUGGAUUAAUUCGAUGCAGCGCGAAAAACCUUACCUACCCUUGACAUGUCCAGGAGCCUGAAGAGAUUUGGGUGUGCCCGAAAGGGAACUGGAACACAGGUGCUGCAUGGCUGUCGUCAGCUCGUGUCGUGAGAUGUUGGGUUAAGUCCGCAACGAGCGCAACCCUUGUCGUUAAUUGCCAUCAUUUAGUUGGGCACUUUAACGAGACUGCCGGUGACAAACCGGAGGAAGGUGGGGAUGACGUCAAGUCCUCAUGGCCCUUAUGGGUAGGGCUUCACACGUCAUACAAUGGUCGGUACAAAGGGUUGCCAACCCGCGAGGGGGAGCCAAUCCCAGAAAAGCCGAUCGUAGUCCGGAUCGCAGGCUGCAACUCGCCUGCGUGAAGUCGGAAUCGCUAGUAAUCGUGGAUCAGCAUGUCACGGUGAAUACGUUCCCGGGUCUUGUACACACCGCCCGUCACACCAUGGGAGCGGGUUCCGCCAGAAGUAGGUAGCCUAACCGCAAGGGGGGCGCUUACCACGGCGGGGUUCGUGACUGGGGUGAAGUCGUAACAAGGUA